rnacentral:rRNA from 1 species
UACGGAGGGGGCUAGUGUUGUUCGGAAUUACUGGGCGUAAAGCGUGCGCAGGCGGUUGUGCAAGACAGAGGUGAAAUCCCCGGGCUUAACCUGGGAAUGGCCUUUGUGACUGCACGGCUAGAGUGUGUCAGAGGGGGGUAGAAUUCCACGUGUAGCAGUGAAAUGCGUAGAGAUGUGGAGGAAUACCGAUGGCGAAGGCAGCCCCCUGGGAUAACACUGACGCUCAGGCACGAAAGCGUGGGGAGCAAACAGGG